GUGGCGUGGGCGUGGCCUGCGCGCGGUGGGGCUGCGGCGGCGCUGCCCGGAGGGUGAGCUAGGAGCGGGCGCGGAGCCGGCGGGCGGGCGGAGGAGAGCGCGGGCGCGGCACCUGCGGGCCGGAGUGUCGGGCUCCCUGCCGCAGCGCCGGGCCGCCCCGACUCCGAGCUGCUGCUGAGAUGAGUGCAGUGUCGCAGCCCCAGGCUGCUCCCAGCCCCCUGGAGAAGUCGCCCAGCACGGCCAUCCUGUGCAACACGUGCGGGAAUGUGUGCAAGGGCGAGGUGCUGCGGGUGCAGAACAAGUACUUCCACAUCAAGUGCUUCGUCUGCAAAGCGUGCGGCUGCGACCUGGCGGAGGGCGGCUUCUUCGUGCGGCAGGGCGAGUACAUCUGCACGCGGGACUACCAGAGGCUCUACGGCACCCGUUGCUUCAGCUGCGACCAGUUCAUCGAGGGCGAGGUGGUGUCGGCGCUGGGCAAGACCUACCACCCCGACUGCUUCGUGUGCGCCGUGUGCCGGCUGCCCUUCCCCCCCGGGGACCGAGUGACCUUCAAUGGGAAGGAAUGCAUGUGCCAGAAGUGCUCCCUGCCCGUGUCUGUGGGCAGCACUGCGCACCUGUCCCAGGGCCUCCGAAGUUGUGGGGGCUGCGGCGCAGAAAUCAGGAACGGCCAGGCCCUGGUAGCCUUGGACAAGCACUGGCACUUGGGCUGCUUUAAGUGCAAGAGCUGUGGGAAGCUCCUGAACGCCGAGUACAUCAGCAAGGACGGGCUGCCCUACUGCGAAGCCGACUACCAUGCCAAGUUUGGCAUCCGCUGUGACAGCUGUGAGAAAUACAUCACGGGGCGCGUGCUGGAGGCUGGGGAGAAGCACUACCACCCUUCCUGCGCGCUAUGUGUCAGGUGCGGCCAGAUGUUUGCAGAAGGCGAAGAGAUGUAUCUUCAAGGUUCCUCCAUCUGGCAUCCGGCGUGUCGACAGGCAGCCAGAACUGAAGACAGAAACAAGGAAACCAGAACUUCCUCGGAGAGCAUCAUUUCAGCCCCUGCUUCCAGCACCUCGGGGUCUCCGAGCCGUGUGAUUUAUGCCAAGCUUGGUGGCGAGAUCCUGGACUACAGGGACUUGGCAGCCCUUCCUAAAAGUAAGGCCAUCUAUGACAUCGACCGUCCGGACAUGAUCUCCUACUCGCCCUACAUCAGCCACUCUGCAGGGGACAGGCAGAGCUACGGCGAGUCCCCUCAGUUGCUCUCGCCAACGCCGACCGAGGGGGAUCAGGAUGACCGGUCCUACAAGCAGUGCCGGACCUCCAGCCCAAGCUCCACCGGGUCAGUCAGCCUCGGGCGCUACACCCCGACUUCACGGUCACCACAGCACUACAGCCGUCCAGCUGGUACUGUGAGUGUGGGUGCCAGUAGCUGCCUCUCCCUGUCCCAACACCCAAGCCCUACAUCCAUGUUCAGACAUCAUUACAUCCCCCACUUCCGAGGCAGUGAAAGCGGCCGGAGCACCCCCAGCCUCUCCAUGCUCUCGGACAGCAAGCCGCCCCCUUCCACCUACCAGCAGGCGCCUCGCCACUUCCACGUCCCAGACACUGGCGUAAAAGAUAACAUCUAUAGGAAACCCCCUAUCUACAGACAGCAUGGUCCUGUAGUCCAAUCCCAAAUUUCCAAGCUCUCUGGCCUGGUAUCAGUCUUGUCCUUGGUGGUGCAGGAGGCAGGGUACGCCAAAAGACAGACGGGCCCGAGCCUGCCGCCCGCUGCAGCUGCGAGGCGAUCCGAUGCGGAGGAUGGAAGCUUCGACCAGGAUAGCAGGAAGCAGAAGAGCAGCUGGCUGAUGCUCAAGGGGGAGUCAGACACCAGGACCAACUCUCCAGACCUGGACAGCCAGUCCUUGUCCCACAGCAGCGGGCCCGAAAGGGACCCUCUCCACCGGACGCCAGGGGACAGCUUUCACGCACGAUUCCCCUAUUCCAAAUCUGACCCUCUCCCAGGACGUGGAAAGAAUGGCUUGGACCACCGGAAUGCCAAUCUGGCCCCCUGUGGAGCAGACCCGGAUGCCAGCUGGGGCAUGCGAGAAUACAAGGUAAGCGGGGCCUCUCCCACGCUGACCUCCGUGCUGCGCCACACCUGCCCAGGUCUAUCCUUAUGACACCCUCAUCGUCACAAACCGAAUUCGGGUGAAACUGCCCAAAGACGUGGACCGGACGAGACUGGAGAGACACUUGUCGCCUGAGGAGUUCCAGGACGUGUUCGGUAUGAGCAUGGAGGAGUUUGACCGCCUGGCCCUCUGGAAGAGGAAUGACCUGAAGAAGAAAGCCCUGUUGUUCUGACGGCUGCCAGCCUGCCCACUGGUGCGCGCCGGGAGCCGAGGCGAGGGGUCCCUGGCGAGAACCGUGCCCGCCCCUCCCACACACCUUCCUCUGGCUUCUCUGUGUCAAUGGGGUGGGCGGGUCCCCCAGCAGAUGCAGCCCCUGUGCCUGCCGGCACCACUCCUGCCCGUAGUUUAGGGCUGAGACAGCUAGCUUCACACCACCCUUCCCCGCUGUGGCUUGGUGUCAGGGAGAGGCUGCAAACUGGCUGUGUGGGGCAUCAGACGGAGUGCACAGGUGGCUGCAGCCCAGCCUACCUUCCCGGCAUCCUGGAGGUGCCCUGGCCCCGGUGCUAGGCACGUGGGGGACAGAGGUGCCCUGAACGUGAGCUGUGAGGCUUAUCGAAGAUGGGCACUGAUACCAUUGUUCCAGGAUGGGCACACAGCCCCUUUGGAGCCUGGGCAGCCUUGCCUCACAGGCAGACCUGCAGACAGGGCAGGGAGUGUCUGGGGCGGUGCCAAGAGUAGGGUGCGUGAUUUUUGCAGGCGUCUGUGACGGGUAUCUUUAGGAACAAACGUCAACUGACAGGCACCUCUGGCAGCGCCCCUCCAUGCGCCGCGUCCCUCUUCCAGAUCACCCCCUAGAUGCCUACACAAUAUCUUUAAAGUUACACAGAAGUUUUUAUUUUAUUAAAAAGUAUAGCCUACUUAAACACAAGAUGACAUAUAUAGAGUUGAAUUUCACGGCCCCUCCGCAGGGGAGCGGCCUCCAGCCUUAUUCUCCACCGCUCCGAUCUGUGUGGUUUCAGUCGGUUCUCGGUGUGGUCCUCAUACACAGAGCUCCCUGUCUGGUUUCUCCUCUUUUCUUUUUCGCGUCACACAGGUAAACCUUAAAGACAGACCCUCUGAAUCACGCUUUGUAAAUACAUGUCAGGUGCAGCCAUCACUGUUUUCCUUGCUGUUAUUUUUCCAAGUCUUGGAGAGAAAACAUCUUCCUCUGGUGGCCAAAGUCCUGGAAUAAAAGGUUUCCGCGUCCGCCACCGAAUGCCCGACAUAGCUCUCUCGGUGUGCCGUCCUGUGCUGUGGCUGGCGGUGUCUCAGCACACCCACCUGAAAAGCAAACCCCACACGCCCCGGGAGCAAUGAGCUCCUGUGUGUCCCUGAAACAGACACCCACACGCUGUUGGGAAGCAAAGGAUAGAGGUACGCCUCUCCUCAUCCCCGACGCCAGCAGGGCAUCCCCAAGCAGGAGGCUGGCCGGGCUCCCACGCAAAGGCGUUGGUGUCUGCCAUGAGGCGUGUGUCGAAGUGCAGCGCCGGCCGCCACGGGAUGCCCGCAGCGCGCUGAGAGGUGGCUGAAACGCCGGAGUCUGUUUCCCCGUCCUCAGUGGGUGUUGCCUCUUGUGUGUGUCCCAGUGUUCCUGCCUGUGAGUCGGCCUUACUCCGCUUCCUCAGCGCCCACGACAUGCCAAGUCCCAUUUCCCACUCGGCUUCUCACCCGCCCGGCUCGGCCAGGGAGGGGGAGUUUUUAGCACCUAAUCCGCUUCCUGCCGCUGAGCAAUCUGAGCCUGAGCAACUGGAAACCCCCAUUUCUCAGUAGUGCAAUGUCAUGUCUGAUCCCAGGAAGCCUGGAAAAUAAAAGACGAUGCAUUAUCA